rnacentral:rRNA from 1 species
GGGCCUGCACAAGCGGUGGAGUAUGUGGCUUAAUUCGAUGCAACGCGAAGAACCUUACCUGGCCUUGACAUGUAGUGGCCCGGGUGCGAAAUCACCCUUUUCUUCGGAACUGCUACACAGGUGCUGCAUGGCUGUCGUCAGCUCGUGUCGUGAGAUGUUGGUUAAGUCCCGCAACGAGCGCAACCCCCGUGUUCUGUUGCCACCCGGAUGAGAAUCCGGAGCACUCUGGACAGACUGCCUGGUUUCAACCAGGAGGAAGGUGGGGAUGACGUCAAGUCAGUAUGGCCCUUACGGCCAGGGCUGCACACGUACUACAAUGCCCGGUACAAUGGGAAGCGAGACCGCGAGGUGGGAGCA